rnacentral:rRNA from 1 species
GAUGAACGCUGGCGGCGUGCUUAACACAUGCAAGUCGAGCGAGUGAGUUCUUCGGAACGAUCUAGCGGCGGACGGGGGAGUAACACGUGGGCAACCUGCCUCAUAGAGGGGAAUAGCCUCUCGAAAGGGAGAUUAAUACCGCAUAAAAUUAUCGAGUGGCAUCACAUGAUAAUCAAAGGAGUAAUCAGCUAUGAGAUGGGCCCGCGGUGCAUUAGCUAGUUGGUAAGGUAACGGCCCACCAAGACGACGAUGCGUAGCCGACAUGAGAGGGUGAUCAGACAGAUUGGGACUGAGACACGGCCCAGACUCCUACGGGAGGCAGCAGUGGGGAAUAUUGCACAAUGGGGGAAACCCUGAUGCAGCAACGCCGCGUGAGUGAUGAAGGUCUUCGGAUUGUAAAGCUCUGUCUUUGGGGACGAUAAUGACGGUACCCAAGGAGGAAGCCACGGCUAACUACGUGCCAGCAGCCGCCGUAA